AUUUCUCCUUUUUUUUUUUAGAUAAUCGGUGUGAAAGUUAGAUUUAAAAUACACUCUCCCUAGAAAGAAACAAGAAUCAGGGAAUGUCCACGUGAUCAAAAUCGCGAAACGCUAGAGCAUACGAAGUUCAUAGUUUUUGAGGUCAUGAGUAGACUGAACCAUUCUUCCGGCCAUGAGAUCCAACUCCAGGAACCAAAUGGCAGGCACGGCGGUUCCAAGGUACAGAAGAACACUGGGGCAUACCCUAAUGACAUAGAAAUCAUCUAUUGCAGUAAGUCUAAAGUGAAGACUGUUUCGAUCACCAUAACUGGAAAAGUCCCGGUCAGGCACCAGUACAGAGGCUGACCUUUGACCACGGUCACGCGCCAGAUACAAAUGAAGCCGUGAAGAGCGAAAAGAACCCGG